CGCUAGCCGGGAGAUAGGGACGCGAGCGCGAAGAGCACCGCUCGCUGCGGCGGUGUCCGUGAUCCCCACGCGGACCGUGAAAAUCCGGGAGAGGGCCACGCGGAGUCUUCGCGCCGGUUCGUACCGAUAUCCGCAGCAGGUCUCCGAGGUGAGCAGCCUCUAGCCGCAUAGAAUAAUGUAGGUAAGGGAAGUCGACAAAAUCGAUCCGUAACUUCGGG
rnacentral:rRNA from 1 species